rnacentral:lncRNA from 1 species
GCCAGGAGCCACCCAUCCUCCAGCACACUGAGCAGCAAGCUGGACACACGGCACACUGAUCCAAAUGGGUAAGGGGAUGGUGGCGAUGCUCAUUCUGGGUCUGCUACUUCUGGCGCUGCUCCUACCCGUGCAGGUUUCUUCAUUUGUUCCUUUAACCAGUAUGCCGGAAGCUACUGCAGCCGAAACCACAAAGCCCUCCAACAGUGCCCUACAGCCUACAGCCGGUCUCCUUGUGGUCUUGCUUGCCCUUCUACAUCUCUACCAUUAAGAGGCAGGUCAAGAAACAGCUACAGUUCUCCAACCCAUACACUAAAACCGAAUCCAAAUGGUGCCUAGAAGUUCAAUGUGGCAAGGAAAAAAACCAGGUCUUCAUCAAAUCUACUAAUUUCACUCCUUAUUAACAGAGAAACGCUUGAGAGUCUCAAACUGGACUGGUUUAAAGAGCAUCUGAAGGAUUUGACUAGAUGAUAAAUGCCAAUAUUAAAUCUGUUGGAGUUUCACGUAUAAGACAGAGGAGAAAGAGAACAUCAAAAAUUACUUAGCAAGCUAUGGAAUGGAGAUUCAGUUUUCAUUUUAGUUUGUUAAAUCUACAAGGCUGUAAAAUGAUUAGGUUACAAGAUGUUCACCUAAGAUUGAGACCUAGUGACUACAUUUCCUACGGGAACAAAUAAAUGGUUUUUCAUCUCCCGGAGAUACAUUACAAACAAAUAUGGUGCUAAAAGAACUC